UCGGGAAUUUUGGGCAAUGGGCGAAAGCCUGACCCAGCAACGCCGCGUGAGGGAUGAAGGCCCUCGGGUCGUAAACCUCUGUCGGGAGGGAAGAACGACCGCAAGGUGAAUAAUCUUGGGGGUCUGACGGUACCUUCAAAGGAAGCGCCGGCUAACUCCGUGCCAGCAGCCGCGGUAAUACGGAGGGCGCAAGCGUUGUUCGGAAUCAUUGGGCGUAAAGCGCGUGUAGGCGGCUUGGCAAGUCGGGUGUGAAAUCCCGGGGCUCAACCCCGGAACUGCAUUCGAUACUGCCUCGCUAGAGUCCCGGAGAGGAGGGCGGAAUUCCCGGUGUAGAGGUGAAAUUCGCAGAUAUCGGGAGGAACACCAGUGGCGAAGGCGGCCCUCUGGACGGUGACUGACGCUGAGAUGCGAAAGCGUGGGGAGCAAACAGGAUUAGAUACCCUGGUAGUCCACGCUGUAAACGUUGGGUGCUAGGUGUCGCGGGUAUUGACCCCUGCGGUGCCGACGCUAACGCA
rnacentral:rRNA from 1 species